GGGUGAGUAAUGUAUCGGAACGUACCUUUCAGUGGGGGAUAACGUAGCGAAAGUUACGCUAAUACCGCAUAUUCUGUGAGCAGGAAAGCAGGGGAUCGCAAGACCUUGCGCUGAUUGAGCGGCCGAUAUCAGAUUAGCUAGUUGGUGAGGUAAAGGCUCACCAAGGCGACGAUCUGUAGCGGGUCUGAGAGGAUGAUCCGCCACACUGGAACUGAGACACGGUCCAGACUCCUACGGGAGGCAGCAGUGGGGAAUUUUGGACAAUGGGCGCAAGCCUGAUCCAGCCAUGCCGCGUGAGUGAAGAAGGCCUUCGGGUUGUAAAGCUCUUUCAGCCGGGAAGAAAACGCAUGGGUUAAUACCCUGUGUGGAUGACGGUACCGGAAUAAGAAGCACCGGCUAACUACGUGCCAGCAGCCGCGGUAAUACGUAGGGUGCGAGCGUUAAUCGGAAUUACUGGGCGUAAAGCGUGCGCAGGCGGUUUGUUAAGAUAGGCGUGAAAUCCCCGGGCUCAACCUGGGAACUGCGUUUAUGACUGGCAAGCUAGAGUAUGGCAGAGGGGGGUGGAAUUCCACGUGUAGCAGUGAAAUGCGUAGAGAUGUGGAGGAACACCGAUGGCGAAGGCAGCCCCCUGGGCCAAUACUGACGCUCAUGCACGAAAGCGUGGGUAGCAAACAGGAUUAGAUACCCUGGUAGUCCACGCCCUAAACGAUGUCAACUAGGUGUUGGGAGGGUAAAACCUUUUAGUACCGGAGCUAACGCGUGAAGUUGACCGCCUGGGGAGUACGGCCGCAAGGUUAAAACUCAAAGGAAUUGACGGGGACCCGCACAAGCGGUGGAUGAUGUGGAUUAAUUCGAUGCAACGCGAAAAACCUUACCUACCCUUGACAUGUCCGGAAGCCCUUAGAGAUUUGGGUGUGCUCGAAAGAGAGCCGGAACACAGGUGCUGCAUGGCUGUCGUCAGCUCGUGUCGUGAGAUGUUGGGUUAAGUCCCGCAACGAGCGCAACCCUUGUCGUUAAUUGCCAUCAUUUAGUUGGGCACUUUAACGAGACUGCCGGUGACAAACCGGAGGAAGGUGGGGAUGACGUCAAGUCCUCAUGGCCCUUAUGGGUAGGGCUUCACACGUCAUACAAUGGUCGGUACAAAGGGUCGCCAACCCGCGAGGGGGAGCCAAUCCCAGAAAGCCGAUCGUAGUCCGGAUCGUAGGCUGCAACUCGCCUGCGUGAAGUCGGAAUCGCUAGUAAUCGUGGAUCAGCAUGUCACGGUGAAUACGUUCCCGGGUCUUGUACACACCGCCCGUCACACCAUGGGAGCGGGUUCCGCCAGAAGUAGGUAGCCUAACCGCAAGGAGGGCGCUUACCACGGCGGGGUUCGUGACUGGGGUGAAGUCGGAACAAGGUA
rnacentral:rRNA from 1 species